GAUGAACGCUGGCGGCAGGCCUAACACAUGCAAGUCGAACGAGAUCUUCGGAUCUAGUGGCGGACGGGUGAGUAACGCGUGGGAACGUGCCCUUCUCUACGGAAUAGUCCCUGGGAAACUGGGUUUAAUACCGUAUACGCCCUUCGGGGGAAAGAAUUUCGGGGAAGGAUCGGCCCGCGUUGGAUUAGGUAGUUGGUGGGGUAAUGGCCUACCAAGCCGACGAUCCAUAGCUGGUUUGAGAGGAUGAUCAGCCACACUGGGACUGAGACACGGCCCAGACUCCUACGGGAGGCAGCAGUGGGGAAUCUUGGACAAUGGGCGCAAGCCUGAUCCAGCCAUGCCGCGUGAGUGAUGAAGGCCUUAGGGCAAAGCUCUUUCGCCAGAGAUGAUAAUGACAGUACCUGGU
rnacentral:rRNA from 1 species